UUUUUGUCUUUCCUUACAUUUCCAGGUCUAUGUUUUCUUCAUAUACACCAUCUAUGUUAUAGAAUGUAAUGAAACGGGCCUUUGUGCCUACAAACCUUAUACAACUUUCAGCAACGGAUCUCUUGGCUCUCGCAUCGAUGAAGAACGCAGCGAAAUGCGAUAAGUAAUGUGAAUUGCAGAAUUCAGUGAAUCAUCGAAUCUUUGAACGCACCUUGCGCUCCUUGGUAUUCCGAGGAGCAUGCCUGUUUGAGUGUCAUUAAUAUAUCAACCUCCUCAGGUUUUUACUUGUNGAGUGUUUGGAUGUGGGGGUUGUCUUUUGCUGGUCUCUUUCUGAGGUCGGCUCCCCUAAAAUGCAUUAGCGGAACAAUUUGUUGACCCCNUUCNUNGUGGNNAUAACUAUCUACGCUNUUGACGGUGAAGCAGGUUCAGCUUCUAACAGUCCAUUGACUUGGACAAGUUUUCAUUAAUGUGACCUCNAAUCAGGUAGGACUACCCGCUGAACUUAAGCAUAUCAUA
rnacentral:rRNA from 1 species